GACGAACGCUGGCGGCGUGCUUAACACAUGCAAGUCGAACGGAAAGGCCCUGCUUGCAGGGUGCUCGAGUGGCGAACGGGUGAGUAACACGUGGGUGAUCUGCCCCUUACUUUGGGAUAAGCCUGGGAAACUGGGUCUAGUACUGGAUAGGACCAUGCUGUAGGUGGUGUGGUGGAAAGAUUAGUUUCGGUAGGGGAUGAGCUCGCGGCCUAUCAGCUUGUUGGUGGGGUAAUGGCCUACCAAGGCGUCGACGGGUAGCCGGCCUGAGAGGGUGGACGGCCACAUUGGGACUGAGGUACGGCCCAGACUCCUACGGGGGGCAGCAGUGGGGAAUAUUGCACAAUGGGCGCAAGCCUGGUGCAGCGACGCCGCGUGGGGGAUGACGGCCUUCGGGUUGUAAACUCCUUUCAGCCAUGACGAAGCCCUUGUGGUGACGGUAGUGGUAGAAGAAGCACCGGCUAACUACGUG
rnacentral:rRNA from 1 species